GGCUAAUGCUGGGGCGGCAGCGUGGGGAAGACGUAGGUUGCAAGCUUGGGUUGGAAUUACUGGGCGGAAAGGGCGAGUAGUGGGCCAUCUAAGUCAGACGUGAAAUCCCCCGGCUUAACCUGGGAACUGCGUCUGAUACUGGACGGCUAGAGUUUGGGAGAGGGAUGCAGAAUUCCAGGGGUAGCGGUGAAAUGCGUAGAUAUCUGGAGGAAUACCGGUGGCGAAGGCGGCAUCCUGGACCAACACUGACACUGAUCCGCGAAAGCUAGGGGAGCAAACGGGAUUAGAUACCCGUGAGUC
rnacentral:rRNA from 1 species